AUGGACACACCUUUUUCAAAGGUGUCUGUGCUAAUAGUUAUUGAAGGGAGAAUAACUUAUAGUUUAAAAGCUCCUAUCUUUAAACAAAUCCGUUCAGUAACUAACUUUCUCACUAGCUUAUUGUUAAAGCUUCUACUAUUUUUUACCAAAUAUAACCUAAAUACCUUUUUUUUUCUCUUUCUUUUCUAUGAUUUCAUUCAAUCUAUUUCAUUAUGUAGCACAGACACUUCUGAAAAAAAGAUACGUUUGUGUCAGUAUUGCUGUCCAAAACCGACACUUUUAUUACGUUUAAUUUAUUCAUUUUUUCAAAUUAUUAUCGGUGUCGUAUUUCCGGUAUAUCAGCUUCAUAGUUUCCUCACUAGCUUAUUGUUUUUUCUAAGUAAACUACUUAAGAUUAUAGCUUCUACUAUUUUUGUACCAAACAUAACCUAA